AGAGUUUGAUCCUGGCUCAGAACGAACGCUGGCGGCAGGCCUAACACAUGCAAGUCGAGCGCUGUAGUAAUACAGAGCGGCGCACGGGUGAGUAACACGUGGGAACGUGCCCUUUGGUUCGGAAUAACUCAGGGAAACUUGAGCUAAUACCGGAUGAGCCCUAACGGGGAAAGAUUUAUCGCCGAAGGAGCGGCCCGCGUUGGAUUAGCUAGUUGGUGGGGUAAAAGCCUACCAAGGCGACGAUCCAUAGCUGGUUUGAGAGAACGACCAGCCACACUGGGACUGAGACACGGCCCAGACUCCUACGGGAGGCAGCAGUGGGGAAUCUUGGACAAUGGGGGAAACCCUGAUCCAGCCAUGCCGCGUGAGUGAUGAAGGCCCUAGGGUUGUAAAACUCUUUCGGCGGGGACGAUAAUGACG
rnacentral:rRNA from 1 species